rnacentral:rRNA from 1 species
GACGAACGCUGGCGGCGUGCUUAACACAUGCAAGUCGAACGAGUGGCGAACGGGUGAGUAAUACGUGGGUAACCUGCCCUCUUUUUGGGAUAAGCCUUGGAAACGGGGUCUAAUACCGAAUAAAGGGGGAUGGGCUCGCGGCCUAUCAGCUUGUUGGUGGGGUGAUGGCCUACCACGGCGGUGACGGGUAGCCGGCCUGAGAGGGUGACGGGCCAGAGUGGGACUGAGAUACGGCCCGGGAUCCUACGGGAGGCAGCAGUGGGGGAUAGUGCAAAAUGGGCGAAAGCCUGAGGCAGCGACGCCGGGUGGGGGAGGAAGUGUGUCGGGUUGUAGUCCGCUAUCGCUAUCGAACCGGUAGGUGGAGAAGAAGCGCCGGCUAACUACGUGCCAGCAGCCGCGGUAAUAC